UACGUAGGGUGCGAGCGUUGUCCGGAAUUAUUGGGCGUAAAGAGCUUGUAGGGUGGUUUGUCGCGUCUGCUGUGAAAAUCCCGAGGCUCAACCCUCGGACUUGCAGUGGGUACGGGGCAGACUAGAGUGUGGUAGGGGAGACUGGAAUUCCUGGUGUAGCGGUGAAAUGCGCAGAUAUCAGGAGGAACACCGGUGGCGAAG
rnacentral:rRNA from 1 species